rnacentral:rRNA from 1 species
UGGGGAAUAUUGCACAAUGGGCGCAAGCCUGAUGCAACCAUGCCGCGUGUGUGAAGAAGGCCUUCGGGUUGUAAAGCACUUUCAGCGGGGAGGAAGGCGGUGAGGUUAAUAACCUCAUCGAUUGACGUUACCCGCAGAAGAAGCACCGGCUAACUCCGUGCCAGCAGCCGCGGUAAUACGGAGGGUGCAAGCGUUAAUCGGAAUUACUGGGCGUAAAGCGCACGCAGGCGGUUUGUUAAGUCAGAUGUGAAAUCCCCGGGCUCAACCUGGGAACUGCAUCUGAUACUGGCAAGCUUGAGUCUCGUAGAGGGGGGUAGAAUUCCAGGUGUAGCGGUGAAAUGCGUAGAGAUGUGGAGGAAUACCGGUGGCGAAGGCGGCCCCCUGGACAAAGACUGACGCUCAGGUGCGAAAGCGUGGGGAGCAAACAGG